UACGUAGGUGGCAAGCGUUGUCCGGAAUUAUUGGGCGUAAAGCGCGCGCAGGCGGCCUCCUAAGUCCGAUGUGAAAGCCCACGGCUCAACCGUGGAGGGUCAUUGGAAACUGGGGGGACUUGAGUGCAGGAGAGAAGAGUGGAAUUCCACGUGUAGCGGUGAAAUGCGUAGAGAUGUGGAGGAACACCUGUGGCGAAAGCGGCUCACUGGACCAUUACUGACGCUGAGGCACGAAAGCUAGGGGAGCAAACAGG
rnacentral:rRNA from 1 species